GAUGAACGCUGGCGGCGUGCUUAACACAUGCAAGUCGAACGGAAAGGCCGAAGCUUGCUUCGGUACUCGAGUGGCGAACGGGUGAGUAACACGUGGGUGAUCUGCCCUGUACUUCGGGAUAAGCUUGGGAAACUGGGUCUAAUACCGGAUAUGACAAUCUCUUGGAUGGGGUUGUGGAAAGCUUUUGCGGUAUGGGAUGAGCUCGCGGCCUAUCAGCUUGUUGGUGGGGUAAUGGCCUACCAAGGCGUCGACGGGUAGCCGGCCUGAGAGGGUGUACGGCCACAUUGGGACUGAGAUACGGCCCAGACUCCUACGGGUGGCAGCAGUGGGGAAUAUUGCACAAUGGGCGCAAGCCUGAUGCAGCGACGCCGCGUGGGGGAUGACGGCCUUCGGGUUGUAAACUCCGUUCGCAACCGACGAAGCUUUUUGUGACGGUAGGUUGAGAAGAAGCACCGGCUAACUACGUG
rnacentral:rRNA from 1 species